rnacentral:rRNA from 1 species
GCGCAGCAGUCGCGAAUCCUUUACAAUGCACGAAAGUGCGAUAAGGGGAUCCCAAGUGCCAAUACUCUGUAUUGGCUUUUGCUGAGAGUAAAAAUCUCGGCGAAUAAGUGAUGGGUAAGACUGGUGCCAGCCGCCGGCGGUAACACCAGGCGUCACGAGUGGCGCCCACGUUUUAUUGGGGUCUAAAAGGCGCCCGUUAGCCGGGGUCUGUAAGUCCUCUGUGAAAUCGUUAGGCCUAACCUAACGGAUAGCAGAGGAGACUGCCGACCUAGAGACCGGGAGGAGCCAGAGGUAUUUCCAGGGUAGCGGUAAAAUGCGGUAAUCCUGGGAGGACCACCUGUGGCGAAGGCGUCUGGCUAGAACGGGACUGACGGUGAGGGACGAAGGCUAGGGGAGCGAUCCGGAUUAGAUACCCGUGUAGU